rnacentral:rRNA from 1 species
CCUACGGGAGACAGCAGUGAGGAAUAUUGGUCAAUGGGCGGGAGCCUGAACCAGCCAAGUAGCGUGAAGGAUGACAGCCCUAUGGGUGUUAAACUUCUUUUAUAAGGGAAUAAAGUGCCCCACGUGUGGGGUUUUGUAUGUACCUUAUGAAUAAGCUUCGGGUAAUUCCGUGCCAGCAGCCGCGGUAAUACGGAAGAUGCGAGCGUUAUCCGGGUUUAUUGGGGUAAAGGGGAGCGUAGGCGGUUCCAUAAGUCAGGGGUAAAUCGUGCGGCUUAACCGUACCGUGCCUGUGAAAGUGGGGGACUUGAGUAUGCGCAGGGUACAUGGAAUUCGUGG